CAAUAGCGUAUAUUAAAGUUGUUGCAGUUAAAAAGCUCGUAGUUGGAUUUGUGGCGUACGGUGUGUUCCGGGCACUUGUUGUCUGAGUAACCUGCUGUUGCCAUCCUUGGGUGGAACCUGUGUGGCAUUAGGUUGUCGUGCAGGGGAUGCCCAUCAUUUACUGUGAGAAAAUCAGAGUGCUCAAAGCAGGCAUUUGCCGUGAAUGUAUUAGCAUGGAAUAAUAGAAUAGGACUCGGUUCUAUUUUGUUGGUUUGUUGGGACUGAGUAAUGAUUAAGAGGGACAGUUGGGGGCAUUUGUAUUCCGGCGCUAGAGGUGAAAUUCUUAGAUUGCCGGAAGACAAACUGCUGCGAAAGCGUCUGCCAAGGAUGUUUUCAUUAA
rnacentral:rRNA from 1 species